rnacentral:rRNA from 1 species
AUGGCGAUGGGUCACCUCCGUGCCUUGCUGGUUUUCCUCCUCGUGCAGGUCUGCCUAUUCUUGAUGAUGGCCGCGUCGGCGAAGGUGCAGGGCAGGGCUGUGCCCGGAGUUCCCGCGUGCUGCUCCUACCGCCCCGAGUGCUGCGAGCGCCUGACGGCGGAAGCCCCGCUCGCCGCCGCCUUGUUUUCUAAUAGAAACAACAUUUCAUGUGGUGUUGUCUUGGGGCGUAAUGUCUUCUGUUCGCCCCAACAGCACAUCUGUGUCGUGUGUGUGCUUGACCGAACGAUAUCUUCCUGCUACCUCCUCGGCCACGUCCUCGUGUGCAAGCAGAGAGCGCCGAUGAGGAGGAGGGGUAGUUGGGUGAGGGCUGGGUUCCUCUACUUCACAACCUGGACCAAGACGAAGCCUGGGCUCACACUCGUCGCCUUCUACUUCCUCCUCACCUUGUCGGCGCCAUCAGUGCGCGUCCUCCUCCUGUUCUCUUCUCCCGUUUUUCACAUGUGA